rnacentral:lncRNA from 1 species
UGACUCGACCACAAAACAUAUAGAAUGUUACGAAAGGACGCUGAUAUUAAUGUAAUGUCGAGAUGGGAGUCCGGCUGAGAUACUAUCGAUAGCACCAAGCGUUUGGUGCUAUCAAGUUUUUCGCCGUUAGAUUUAACUUUUUGACUAUUUUUAUCGGUUAGAUUAUACUAUUAAACCAAUACAACCCUAAGGGGCUCACAUCAUCUUAACUGUAUAUUUUUCAUCCAAAGGCCGAAACCUAAUAGCACAAAUAGUUUGGUGCUAUUAAUAGUAUUCCAGCCUAAUUCUAUAUGGUUGUAGAUGUGAAGGACAAUAUUAGGGUGAUGAAACUGGGGUUGACAUGAUGAGCACUU